AUUGAACGCUAGCGGGAUGCUUUACACAUGCAAGUCGAACGGAGUGGCGGACGGGUGAGUAAUAUAUCGGAACGUGCGCAGUAGCGGGGGAUCACUACUCGAAAGAGUGUCUUAUCCCGCAACCUAUUGGAGCGGCAUAUAGGGGAUUAGCUAGGUGGUGGGGUAAAGUCUCACCAAGGCAACGAUCCGUAGGGGGUUUGAGAGGACGACCAGCCACACUGGGACGGGGACACGGCCCAGACUCCUACGGGAGGCAGCAGUGGGGAAUUUUGGACAAUGGGGGAAACCCUGAUCCAGCCAUCCCGCGUGUAUGAUGAAGGCCUUCGGGUUGUAAAGUACUUUUGGCAGGGAAGCGGUAUCUGCAGAAGAAGCACCGGCUAACUACGUGCCAGCAGCCGCGGUAAUUC
rnacentral:rRNA from 1 species